rnacentral:rRNA from 1 species
UACGAAGGGGCUAGCGUUGCUCGGAAUUACUGGGCGUAAAGCGCACGUAGGCGGCUUCUUAAGUCGGUGGUGAAAUCCUGGAGCUCAACUCCAGAACUGCCUUCGAUACUGGGAGCUCGAGUCCGGGAGAGGUGAGUGGAACGUGCGAGUGUAGAGGUGAAAUUCGUAGAUAUUCGCAAGAACACCAGUGGCGAAGGCGGCUCACUGGCCCGAUACUGACGCUGAGGCACGAAAGCGUGGGGAGCAAACAGGG